CGACUUCCCCCGGGAGAGACUGGCUGACCCCAGCGCCGAAGGAGCAACCGCCCCUGGAAACUCUCAGGCAAAAGGACCGGGAGAAGAGG
rnacentral:ncRNA from 1 species